rnacentral:rRNA from 1 species
AUUGAACGCUGGCGGCAUGCCUUACACAUGCAAGUCGAACGGCAGCACGGGAGCAAUCCUGGUGGCGAGUGGCGAACGGGUGAGUAAUAUAUCGGAACGUGCCCAGUCGUGGGGGAUAACGUAGCGAAAGCUACGCUAAUACCGCAUACGAUCUAUGGAUGAAAGCGGGGGAUCGCAAGACCUCGCGCGAUUGGAGCGGCCGAUAUCAGAUUAGGUAGUUGGUGGGGUAAAGGCCUACCAAGCCGACGAUCCAUAGCUGGUUUGAGAGGAUGAUCAGCCACACUGGGACUGAGACACGGCCCAGACUCCUACGGGAGGCAGCAGUGGGGAAUUUUGGGACAAUGGACGCAAGUCUGAUCCAGCCAUUCCGCGUGCAGGAUGAAGGCCCUCGGGUUGUAAACUGCUUUGUACGGAACGAAACGGUGAGCUCUAAUACAGUUUGCUAAUGACGGUACCGUAAGAAUAAGCACCGGCUAAC